GGCCCGGGAGGUGGGGCCGGUUAGGGCGAGGGUCCCCGGGAUCGUAGUGUCAGGCCUUGGGCCAACGUAGGCACUCGCAGUUCCUCCGCCUUCAGGAAGGUCUUUUUGGCAGGGGCCUUACGGGUGCGCGCUUCGGUCCUGGAGGCGUUAUCCUAGCCUCCUCUCCAUCAGCGCCACCCGUCUGGGGCCCGAUAGGAGGGAGCUUUCUGUCUGUCCCCCAGCCUUUGGACUGUCACCAAACAAGCCAUCCGUUCACCAAAUACUUAUUAAGCGCCUACCAUGUGUCUGGCAAGGGAGGUGUAACAGUGAGAAAAACUAGGUGUGGUCCAGGCCCUCCAGGGGCUCAGGGGCUCGUGGAAGAAGUGGACAUUGAAGUACUUACCACACAAAUGAGCAUGAAAGUACAAUAGCAAUAUCUGCCACGAAGGCGAGCAGACAGAGCUAGCAGGGCUUCCAGGAGGAGUUUUGAUCUUGCAGGGACAGGAAGGAGGAGUUAGCUCCUGGGGGGCGGGAUUGGGGGUGGUGGUGAUAUAGACGUGGGGACAGAGUGGAAAACAACAAAAAUAUAAUUAUUUUAGUUCAAAGUUAUUGUGUCUUGAGUUGAAAGGCAGGGCAGUUAGCGACACGGUUCAGAUUUCAGUACUGCCCCUGAAAUCUGAAUUGUGUUCAAAGUCUAAAACGUUUACCUUAGCAAAUCCCUCAUAAAACUCCAUUUGGAAGAGUCCCGAGAGCUAAUUUGUUAAGUAUACUUGCAGAAGGUAGAUGAGGAGACAGAUUAAAUCUUAUUACCUCUUUCAGAUGAGAGGCACUUGAGCCCUGCUCAGCCGUGAGAAUAAGAGGGGGAAUUAAUUCUAAUUGAAUACACUUGUUCUCUCACAGCUGUUGUUCCCCACCAGAACCAAAUGAGCGCAAGAUCUGACAAAGAAAAAAAAAGGUUCAUCUUUUAUUCCGCCAAACACUUUCAUCUAAAUCAAGAGGGUGGGAUGUGGUUAUUGCUGUGUUUUUAGACAGAAUCAACAGUUUCUGGGUCUGAGAUAUUGCAUACACCCUCUCAGUCCCUGUAUCCUCAGAUGGAGUCACCUGAGAAUCCACAGCAAGUCCUAACCGGGGAUGGGUCUGGGUGGUUAAGGAAGGUUGGCCUCAGAACUGGGCCAGGGGCACUGCUUUGCUUUUGCUGUUUUGAUCAGCUCUCUGCCCGCAGGAGACAAGGAAAACCAAUGGGAACAGGUCUAGCUGGAGUACAGUGAUGCAGUCAUAGCCCACUGCAGCCUCAAAAUUCCUGGGCUCAAGCAAUCCACCCACAUCAGCUUCCCAAGUAGUUGGGACUACAGGCCCACACUACUAUACCCAGACCAACAGAUAUUCUAGCAUAUAAGAAAUGUGAUGCUCUCUGUACAUUGAAGAGUUGGUCUAAUAUUUGGCCUGGUGGAUACAGAAAUUGCCUGUCUGCUCCGCUCUGGUUGAAGAAACCAGUCCGACUGUCUCUGAGGCUAUGGAGCAGUCCAUCAAGAAUGAAAGCCCUCGGCUGGCACGUUGGCUCACACCUGUAAUACCAGCGCUUUGGGAGGCUGAGGCAGGUGGAUCACUUGAAGUCACGAAUUCGACACCAGCAUGGCCAACAUGGUGAAACCCUCUCUCUACAGAAAAUAGAAAAAUUAGCUGGGCCUAGUGACGUGUGCCUGUAAUCCCAGCUACUCAGGAGGCUGAGGCAGGAGAAUCACUUGAUCCUGGGAGGCAGAGCUUGCAGUGGGGAGCUGAGAUCACACCACUGCCUUCCAGCCUGGGCGACAGAGUGAGACUCUCUCAAAAAAAAAAAAAAAAAAAAAAAAAAGAAAGUCCUCAUGAUGGCCUCAAGCACAUUGGUCCCUGAAGAGAGUCAAGGAAGGCCCACUUUACUCUGCACUGCAAAGCAGGCAGGUGGACAGGAUGAGAAGUGGAUUCAGUGAGAGGCAUUGACUCAAAGGAUUUUCUGCCUAAUGGUCGGUUCAGCAGAAGAUUAAACUGAGCACAGCAUCCUGUUCCCUCAAACUAUCUGGAUCUCUCUCUCUCUGCCACCCAGGCCAGAGCGCAGUUGAUGCAGGUCAGGGGAGCCCCCCAGUGGAGCAUAGUGUGUCCAGAACUGGUGGGUUGUUGGUCUCACUGACUUCAAGAAUGAAGCCACGGACCCUCGGGGUGAGCGUCACAGUUCUUAAAGGCGGUGCGUCCGG
rnacentral:lncRNA from 1 species